rnacentral:rRNA from 1 species
AGAGUUUGAUCCUGGCUCAGGAUGAACGCUGGCGGCGUGCUUAACACAUGCAAGUCGAACGAAGCACUUACAAUUGAUUCUUCGGAAGAAAGAGUUUGUGACUGAGUGGCGGACGGGUGAGUAACGCGUGGGUAACCUGCCUCAUACAGGGGGAUAACAGUUAGAAAUGACUGCUAAUACCGCAUAAGCGCACAGUAUUGCAUGAUACCGUGUGAAAAACUCCGGUGGUAUGAGAUGGACCCGCGUCUGAUUAGCUAGUUGGUGAGGUAACGGCUCACCAAGGCAACGAUCAGUAGCCGGCCUGAGAGGGUGAACGGCCACAUUGGGACUGAGACACGGCCCAAACUCCUACGGGAGGCAGCAGUGGGGAAUAUUGCACAAUGGGGGAAACCCUGAUGCAGCGACGCCGCGUGAGUGAAGAAGUAUUUCGGUAUGUAAAGCUCUAUCAGCAGGGAAGAAAAUGACGGUACCUGACUAAGAAGCACCGGCUAAAUACGUGCCAGCAGCCGCGGU